ACCAGACCUGCAGCACUGUAUGCAUUAUCAUAUCACAAGCUCUCUUUCUGAUGACAGAUUCAUGUGUUGCUUUGCUCGUGCUGGUGAGGUUGUUGUCCACUCGCGGCCGUCAUGAUUCUCUUCCUGCCUGAUGAUGAUGAGAUUCCAGCCUGCUUCGUGUUGCAUUCAGCUUCCAAGCUCUGCCUCCCUUGUCAUAGAAAGGAAAAUCUUUCAUGGUUUGUCAUGUUUUGGGUUUUGAGGAACUGGGUGCAUACUACGGUGAUUAUUAUGAUUUUAUUAUAAAAAUAAU
rnacentral:lncRNA from 1 species